CCCACUUGCCAAAGUAGUAUAGCAGCCAUUAACUGAACUAGAGAAGAAAAAGGGCUUCUCACAUUGGGUGGUGGUGAGUGAGAGCUGGGAGUUAUUCAACAAAGACUUGUCCACCUAAAACCUGACUUGCUUUUUUACUGAAUAUCUAUAUUUGGUACUAUGAGAAUGUUUGUUGGUCCUAAAAAGAUAACUUUAACCUGGAACCAAGGUUGAGCUAUUUCCUUAGUCUUAGUUAUAGACUUGGUAGUUUGAAAACAAGACAGAAUUUUUAAUACUUUAAGUAGUACAAAGAUUUUAAAAUUAAACUUUUUUGUCCACUCUCAAUAUAAAUUGGGCCUUUUUCCUAUAAGAAUUCUUGAGUAAUUUCAGGGAUCUGUAUUACAUAUAAGUAAAUGUUUCAUUCCCCUUAAAGGAAUUUUCUGGCUUAGAGGGACUGAAUACAAAGUAGAUUUAAAUGUAAUUUUCAAAAAUGUUAUAACUUCAC
rnacentral:lncRNA from 1 species